ensembl:lncRNA
GCCAGCCCUCAGAGGUCUAGAAUGAGGUCACUGCAGACACAGGGGACCUGCUUUAUUGCACAAGCUGGGAGUCGCCUCUCCAUCAUCUAAGAGUGGUCAUCCACGUUCCACUUAACCACCCAGUCUUCCUCCUCUUCCUGGGCCUGGCUCUGGGCCAAAUCCAGGACACUCAACAAGGUCCAGGUCUCAGGUCUUCCGUGUCUAUCUCUCCCAGACAUGCAUCUUCGAGGGCAUCAGCUGCCAGUGCCCUUUGCUGUCCCCGAUCUACCCACCGAAGAACUGGAAAUCAGGUGGCAGCCAGUAGACUCAGCAGAAGCCAGGGUUUCCCCACCAAACUAAAAUCUUGCAUCAUUGUUAUUUAUUAGACACAAAUCGGUUUUUCAGUCAUGCUUGACACCUCCACCCCACGGGAAGGCUGCAGAGGUGAGGGGAGGAAGGGGUUUGGGGAGCUGGGUCCGUGUGGGGCCCCAAGCUGAGUGGGUGGCAGACCAGAGCGAGGAAUCUGGGUGAGACACAUUAGAUUCUGCUGCUGCUCCACCACAAGUGAAGGGGCACUGAAUAAGUAACAAUGAGUGAGGCUAGGGACCAGACAGAAUGUGCGAGCUCUGUCCUCACAGCUCUGGGUACCUCACAGCUGGUGGGGGACAGAUCCCCCACCUUGGGCCAAGGACGCUGUCCUCACCUGUGUCCCACCUGUGAGAAAUGGAGCCUACCUGGACCAGCUGCUCCCAGGACCGGCUGGGGAGGGAAGGAGAGGAAACCUCAGGGAUACCCUGGCUCUAGUCUGGCUCUGGGCUUCCAGACCCCCCACUGGCUGGGAAGAUGGGAUGUCCUAGAACUCACUGAUCCCUGGGCGUGUGGACCUUGAAGUGCUAACACAGGGGAGCAUGGAGGGCCCAGGACAGCCGUGGGGAAGGUGGGAUGAAGGUCACCAGGGAUGUCAAGCCAGGGUCAUCCAGAACACUGGGAUACCUGAAAGGCACAUGAUGUUAAGGUCAGCAUCUUGUGAGGACCCCCUGAACCCCUCCCUGGAAACUCACCUCAGCCCUGUCCCAGUUACUCAGCAAACCCUUAUCAACCCUCUGUUCAGGCUCGUGUCACCUGUGACAGAUUCGGUCUCCCCUGCCCAUCCCACAGCUCUGUGUGUGUGUGUGUGUGUGUGUGUGUGUGUGUGUGUGUGUGUGUGUGAUAUCCCUCUGGAAGAAGCCCUGUGUGGGCACGAAAGGGCCCUAGGGGCUGGCACAGCACAGGCAGAG